rnacentral:rRNA from 1 species
UACGGAGGGUGCGAGCGUUGUCCGGAAUCACUGGGCGUAAAGGGCGCGUAGGUGGCCUGUGGAAGUCUGCGGUGAAAGCCCGGCGCUCAACGCCGGGUCGGCCGUGGAUACUCUCGGGCUUGAGCUUACUAGAGGCAGAUGGAAUUCCGGGUGUAGCGGUGGAAUGCGUAGAGAUCCGGAAGAACACCGGUGGCGAAGGCGGCCCGCUGGGCUGUUGCUGACGCUGAGGCGCGACAGCGUGGGGAGCAAACAGG